GCCUGGCUCAGUUGGUAAAGGGUGAGACUUUUGAUCUCAUGGUUGUGAGUUCAAGCCCCACAAUGGGCA
rnacentral:tRNA from 1 species